GGCUUCUUGUGCGCGGGCCGCCUCGCUCCACCCCGUUUUCACUUCAGAGCACGACUCAUAAUCGUGAGGUCCCUGGUUCGAAUCCAGGCGGAGCUA
rnacentral:tRNA from 1 species